rnacentral:rRNA from 1 species
UACGUAGGGUGCGAGCGUUAAUCGGAAUUACUGGGCGUAAAGCGUGUGCAGGCGGUUCGUUGUGUCGGCGGUGAAAGCCCGGGCUCAACCUGGGAAUGGCCGUUGAAACUGGCGAACUGGAGUGUGGCAGAGGGGGUGGAAUUCCGCGUGUAGCAGUGAAAUGCGUAGAGAUGCGGAGGAACACCGAUGGCGAAGGCAGCCCCCUGGGCUGACACUGACGCUCAGGCACGAAAGCGUGGGGAGCAAACAGG